GGUUUUGGGAUGCAGUGGUGGGAGUGGAGAUUUUGAAGCUUGUGAAAUCCACAUUGAUAGCAUUGGGCUGCAGAGUUCCCAAGGCUCAGUUAAGGAAGGACAACAAACAUUGAUCAGUCAGUCAUACAUCCAGCAAGAAAACUUUAUUUUUUUAAAAAAAUAGGAUGCAUCUGUUAAUCAAGUGGCAAAGCAUUAUCGAGUUUUGAGAAGAUUUGUAGCUCAGGGUUCAGGUUCUGGAAUGUAAGAUUGCUCAAUGAGCUGGAAGGUUAGUUUUCAGAUGAUUCGUCACCAUUCCAGGUAAAAUCAUCAGUGAGCCUCCGGUGAAGCGCUGGAGUUCGGUCCCGCUUUCUAUUCAAGUGUUUCGGUUUCCUUGGGUUGGUGAUGUCAUUUCCUGUUCUUUCUCUCAGAGGAUGGGAGAUGGAUUUGGAGCCAAUGUGUCCUCCCUGGUGUAGUUUGUGUAUGGAAUGAACUGCCAGAGGCUAUUAUACUCACAGUAUUUAAAAGUCACCUGCAUGGACACAUGAAUAGGAAGGGUCUGGAGGGAUAUGGGCAACAUGCUGGCAAAUGGAACUAGUCAGUUACGAUAUCUGGUCGGCCUGAAGGGUCUGUUUCCCUGCUGUACAACUCUGCGACUCUGUCUCUUUGUCUCCCCCUCCCCCUCUCUCAUUUGCUCCAGACCCACCCCCAACCACACACACAAUCUCUGUCUCUCCAUCUCUGUGUGUGUGCCUCACUCUCUGUCUGUCUGUGUCUCUCUCUCUCUCGCUGUGCACUUCUCUGUCUCUCUCCUUCUCUUUCACUGUCUCUUUGGUCUUUGUGUGUGUGUGCCCCUCUCUGUCUCUGCCUCCCUCUGUGUGUGCUUCUGCCUUUCUCUCUCUCCGUCGACCCCCCCACCCACUCUGCGCCGCCCCUCCCCCCGCCUUUUCCUCCAUCUCUCUUACUCUCUAGCCGAGCCUCUCCACCCGCUCAGCAGGGAGCGUUGUGAGUUUCUUUCGAACAAAGUUUAAAGAUCUCUGUUUGAACCCAACCCAUCCGCAAUCAGACUGCAUUUCUAAUCCCUCUCUCUCUCUCUCUCUCUCACACACACACACACACAGUCUGUCUCUUUCUCCCUUUCAGUCAAUCCCCUUCCUCUCCUGGUCCGACUCACGCCUUUUCCCACCCCCCGACUCUGCCUCGGCGAUGAGUCCGCUGUCUGGAUCCCUUGACCCAGGAGUGGGCUGAGGACCCAGCGGUUCGGCAGCGGGGAUCAUCGCACCACGCUCCUGGACCCCUACAACCUCCUGUUCUCCAGCGGCCUCCAGCAUGACCACCGGGCUAGGAGCAGGCAUCCGGGCUGCCGGAGCGCUCGCUGCUCAGUGGCUCAGCCCUGCGCCGCCUUUGCCGGGAGCGGGGAUCCGAGGUGGGAGAAGGCCUCUUCGCCCGGCUCCUGGGCACAGCUACCUGCCUGAACAGCUGCCUGGCACCGAGCCUGCGCUCCCCGAGCACCCGGCCUAGGGUCCGCGACGCCUUCCGGGGCUGAGUAGCCGAAAACUAUCUCCUACUGCAAGUCUUUUCCAGUCCCAUGCUGAGUAUUGUUAUCCCAAUAGUUCUUUAAUGUCAGUGUGUGUGUAUUCCUGGGCGACUAUGCUCGUGUGGUCUACGGAGUUGUGGAGGUCACAGUUCUAGGACAGCCAUUUCAUAGGCCUCUGCUGCAGAAUCUACUCCGGAAGAGAGAGCCCAGAGAAUUGCCAAAGCUGUCUGCAAGCAGUCAAUUGACGUGAAGGAAAAUUGGGAGCAAUUGAAAACCCAUGCGAGCAACUGGCAGAACAAGGUGGAAAAGGCGUUAGAGAAACUUCAAGAACUGCAGAAAGCUCUGGAUGAUCUUGAGUCUCAUGUGAUAACAGCUGAGGGGGUCCACAUUGAUUGGCAACCUGUGAAUGACCUGUUUAUUGACGCAUUGCAGGAUCACAUGGAUAAAACCACAGACUAAAGGUGAAGUCUGACCACGCCAUUUGGCCACUCCUUAGAGAGACACAACUGGUUAUGAUUUAACCUGAAGAUCACCAUGCCUCGGGCAAGUAAAGCGGUUGAGGCGAAGAUCCUUUGUGGUUAAGGACUGUCUGCAAAAUCUGAGAUUGGGUUUUGAAACACAUCAACCUUUGCUUGCGAGAGAUAAUGGUAACUGCAGAUGCUAGAGAAUGCGAGAUAACAAUGUGUGGAGCUGGAUGAACACAGCAGGCCAAGCAGCAUCUCAGGAGCACAAAAGUUGACAUUUCGGGCCUCGACCCUUCAUGCGAGAGAACGUAACGUUUUUAAAGAAGAAAUUGCCCCAGUCAAACAAGAAGUCAAAAUAUUAAAUGAUCUGGGAUGUCAGUUAUCUCCGCUUGAUGUCUCUUUCUCUCCAAAGAUUUCUCACCAGCUUGAUGACCUAAAUAUGAGGUUGAAAUUUAUACAGCAGGAGGUGAGGAGGCAGAGACUGCAACCCUGAGGUCACGGAGGGAAGGAAAAGAGGCUCUUACUUGGAGAUUGAGAAGCAGGAGAGGGCACAACCCAGAGGUUUGGGAGUGGAGAGAGGCUGCAAGUUGGAGGUCAAGGUGAUUUAAACACCGUGCGUUUUUCUGCAUAUCGGCCAGCAAUGAAGAUCCGCCGACUCCAGAAAGCGCUCUGUUACCACAUCAGGUGAAGAUGUGUGUGAUUUCACCAAGGUGCUGAAAAAUAACUUCAGAUCAAAGAAAUACUUUGCCAAACAUCCUUGCUUGGGUUAUUUACCACUACAAACAGUCCUAGAAGUAAUUGCAUGACAGUUUGAAUGGUUCGUUGAGCGUGAGGAACCUAUGGACUCUCAUACACCAAGAU